rnacentral:piRNA from 1 species
GCCAGAGGGUAGUCUCGAUUCUUCUUCA